rnacentral:rRNA from 1 species
GAUGAACGCUGGCGGCGUGCCUAAUACAUGCAAGUCGAGCGAACAGACGAGGAGCUUGCUCCCUGACGUUAGCGGCGGACGGGUGAGUAACACGUGGAUAACCUACCUAUAAGACUGGGAUAACUUCGGGAAACCGGAGCUAAUACCGGAUAAUAUAUUGAACCGCAUGGUUCAAUAGUGAAAGACGGUUUUGCUGUCACUUAUAGAUGGAUCCGCGCCGCAUUAGCUAGUUGGUAAGGUAACGGCUUACCAAGGCAACGAUGCGUAGCCGACCUGAGAGGGUGAUCGGCCACACUGGAACUGAGACACGGUCCAGACUCCUACGGGAGGCAGCAGUAGGGAAUCUUCCGCAAUGGGCGAAAGCUUGACGGAGCAACGCCGCGUGAGUGAUGAAGGUCUUCGGAUCGUAAAACUCUGUUAUUAGGGAAGAACAAAUGUGUAAGUAACUAUGCACGUCUUGACGGUACCUAAUCAGAAAGCCACGGCUAACUACGUG